rnacentral:rRNA from 1 species
GACAGAGGUCCCGAGCGUUAGGCGGAAUCACUGGGCUUAAAGCGUGUGUAGGCGGAUUUGUAAGUACCUUGUGAAAUCCCACGGCUCAACCGUGGAACUGCUUGGUAUACUGCUUAUCUUGAGCCACCUAGGGGCAACCGGAACAAGCGGUGGGAGCGGUGAAAUGCGUAGAUAUCGCUUGGAACGCCAAUGGUGAAAACAGGUUGCUGGAAGUGAUGCUGACGCUGAGACACGAAAGCCAGGGGAGCGAACGGG